GACCACAACCUGUGCCGCCUCACCUGGGCCCCCAUGGCCGACGAGAAGCCAUACACCUACACCUGCAGGGUGUACCAGGGCACCAGCUGGAAGGAGAACAGCAUGGCUGUCCACCACAGGAUUCUUCCAAUCUGCUCUGCAAUCAGUGUUAUGUUCAAAUCUGCACCAUGGCUUUUGUCUCUGGUGAUGUCACUUCCUGUGGCUGUGGGUCUCCUGAGUCCUUAAACUCCCAGCUUCACAGAGUAAAAACCAGUUGGACCUUUUAGGAUUUUCUACUCACUGUGGAUUGCCGAACGUUGGACGAUUCAAUGUUUAAAAAGAUAAUUCAUAUGUAAUUACAUCUCCUAAGAUUAAAAAUGCCAGGAAAAAACUACUUAUUUAAAUAAUUUUACCUAUUCAACAGAGCUAAUCGCCACCAAAACAGCGUCGUUUCCUAGAGUUUUAGUUGAACAAACAAAAAGACAC